rnacentral:rRNA from 1 species
UACGUAGGGACCAAGCGUUGUCCGGAUUUACUGGGCGUAAAGGGCGCGUAGGCGGCCUGAUAAGUAGGGGGUGAAAGCCCUCGGCUCAACCGAGGAAUUGCGCUUCAAACUGUCGGGCUCGAGGGAGAUAGAGGUGAGCGGAACUGAUGGUGGAGCGGUGAAAUGCGUUGAUAUCAUCAGGAACACCAGAGGCGAAGGCGGCUCACUGGGUCUCUUCUGACGCUGAGGAACGAAAGCUAGGGGAGCAAACGGG